UCAUAUAAGCAGUGGAAUCAUGAAAGGACCGAGAGUUGGUAGCAACUGGUUCAACUCUUUUCAGAAGCCCUGAGCUUCCAUCCAUUCCAUCUUCCGCCAUUUUAACUAAGCAUGAAGCUAGCACGAGAAUUAAGCAAGGCCCUUAUCAACAACAUCAACAAUCCGAGAUUUGCUUGGCAGAUCUUCAAACGCAUCGCUUCCAAUCCCAACUUCCCACCCCAUGCAUUCAUCCCAUCGCUGCCUGUUGUCAUCCAAAUCCUUGUCGGAGCCAAAAUGUUCACCCAAAUCAAUGCCCUUCCGCAACUCCUCCUCACACACCCAACCCACACUUGCCACCACUCUAUGAUCUUGCUCGUGCGACUUCUAGCCAAAUUGGGUCAUGUCACUCUCGCUAUUUCUCAGUUGCAAACCCUUCGAGCUCACCACCCCAAUAGACCUCCCCCAGUUUCCUUGUACAACCUACUUAUUCGGUCCUCGCUUCGACAAAAUCUCCCACAUUGUGUUCGUUUUUUGUAUGAAGAUAUGAUUAUUUCUAGGGUUUCCCCUGAAACUUACACUUUUAACCUCUUGAUUGGUGGGUUGUGUGAUUCGGGUUGGUUAGAAGAUGCACGGAAGGUGUUUGAUAAAAUGCAUGAGAGAGGAUGUCUACCUAAUGAGUUCACUUUCGGAAUUUUGGUUCGUGGGUAUUGCAGGGCUGGGCAUGCUAGCCAAGGUUUGGAGCUUUUAGAGGUAAUGAGGAGUAUGGAGGUUGUUCCUAAUAUUGUUAUUUACAAUACGUUGGUUUCAACUUUUUGCAAGGAAGGUAAAACUGAUGAAGCAGAGAAGCUAGUCGAGAGGAUAAGGGAGGAUGGUCUCGUUCCCAAUGUAGUUACUUUCAAUUCCAGGAUUUCAGCUCUAUGUAGUGCAGGAAAAAUUUUGGAGGCUUCCCAGAUUUUCAGAGAUAUGCAAGUAGAUAAGGAGUUAGGCUUGCCUCAGCCUGACAUGAUAACUUACAAUUUGAUGCUUGAAGGAUUUUGCAAGGGAGGAAUGAUCGAGGAAGCAAAGACACUGGUUGAAUCUAUGAAGGAAAGUGGUGUUUCCUUGGAAGUAGAAAGUUAUAACAUAUGGUUGUCGGGUUUGGUGAGAAAUGCAAAGCUUUUGGAGGCACAAUUAGUUCUCAAUGAGAUGGCAGAAAAGCACAUAUGGCCAACUAUUGUCACAUACAAUAUCAUGAUGGAUGGUUUAUGCAAGAAUGGUAUGCUGCGUGAUGUGAAAAUGGUCAUGAGUUCAAUGAAAAAUGAUGGAGUGGCUCCUGAUGUAGUCUCAUAUAGCAUCCUACUUCAUGGCUACUGCAAAAAAGGGAUGAUCAAUGAAGCCAAUAAACUUCUACGUAAAAUGAUUGCAAAUGGCUGUUUUCCUAAUAAUUACACUUGCAAUAGUUUGCUAGAGAGCCUAUGGAAAGAGGGUAGAGUAUUGGAGGCGGAGGAAUUACUGAAUAAGAUGGAAGAAAGGGGUUAUGCCUUGGAUACGGUGACCUAUAAUAUUGUUCUUGAUGGGCUAUGUAAAAGUGGCAAGGUGGACAAAGCAGUUGAAAGCAUGCAUGAAAUGCGGAAUCAAGAGAAUGCUGCUCCCAGUGACCUGGAUAAUUCCUAUGUUGGCCUUGCCAAUGACGAUAACAAUAGGAAUGGUUGCACGCCUGACCUAAUUAGUUAUUCCACCAUAAUUAAUGCAUUAUGCAAGGAUGGGAAGUUUGAUGAAGCCAAAAAGAAGUUCAUAGAAAUGAUAGGGAGAAAUGUAUACCCAGAUUCAAUCAUUUAUGAUAUUUUUGUAUGUAAUUUAUGUAAAAUGGGAAAGGUAUCGUCGGCUUUUCGGGUUCUCAAGGACAUGGAGAAAAAAGGGUACAACAAGAGCUUGCAAACAUACAACUCUUUAAUCCUUGGGUUAGGAAUGAAAGGUCAAUUCUUUGAAAUGUAUGGCUUGAUGGAUGAAAUGAGAGAAAGAGGUAUCUCUCCCAAUGUUCGUACUUACAAUAAUAUGAUAAGAUGUCUAUGUGAAUCAGGGCAAACUGAUGAUGCCACUAAACUAUUGGAUGAAAUGUUGACUAAAGGUGUGUCUCCUAACAUUUCAUCCUUCAAGUUAUUGAUCAGACCUCUAUGCCAAAUAGGAGAGUUCAGACCAGCACAGGAGGUAUUUGAUAUUUCAUUAAGUAUAUUUGGUCAUAAGGAAGUGCUAUACAACUUCAUGUUCAAUGAAUUAGUUGCUGGAGAGGAGCUCUUGGAAGCAAAGGACAUUUUCUUGUCUGCAUUGGAUAGAUGUUUUGAUCUAGGGAACUUCCAAUAUGAAGAUUUCAUUGGCAGACUCUGCAAGGUUGAAAUGUUAGAAUGUGCCAGUGAUGUUCUGAAAAAAAUGAUUCAAAAAGGAUACGCAUUUGAACCCGCCUCAUUUAUGCCUGUAAUUGAUGGUUUGCGCACAACCGGAAAUAAACAUGAGGCUGAUGAAUUUGCUGAGCGGAUGCUGGAGAUGGCUUCAGAGCUUAAGGUUACAAAUCAAGUUAGCCGAAAUGUUAGGGUGUUUAACCGCAAAAAAGUUUCAAAUAACAAUGAAAACAGUUGGCAGAGCAUACUGCACAGGGAUGAUGGCAGUGGUGUGACGCUGAAAAUUUUGAAUAAGAUACAGAAAGGAUGGGGUCAUGCAAACAUAUCAAAUCUGCAGUCCCCCAAGUAUGACUUCCUUGAUAACUGAAGGAGUACUGAUUGAAAGUUUGAAACUUUCCAGAGAUUGGCUAUCUAUCUUCUCCUGUGGUUGCCUGAUUGGUGUUAUCCCUUGAAGCCAAGGCUAAACUCUAAAGUAUUGAGUUAGUCUUGGUAACUAAAAUUUGACAGUAACUUCUUUUGGGAGGAAACUGCUACAAAAGCACUCUGGCGUCGAAAAUGUAGCAGAGUGACAUUGGAAAGAUAUUUGUGUAUAUUCUACAGCUUAGAGUGCUUAAUUGUUCAUCUACAAUAAGUAUAAAGGUUUUGAUGUAGUCAGGGAGCAUUAAAAACAUAGAAGCAGAGAAGCAUAUGGAGCUGCAGCAAACUUCUCCGAUGGUUCUUAUGCCUACAAGAUCUGGUUCAAGCAUUUCCAGAUAUGAAUGGUACAAUCAAUACAAUGACUCAAACUCCUAGUUACAAAAGCAUGAAUGCUAAUUAUUUGUUAUAUAGUAAAAUAACUCUCCACAAACUCAAGUCUUCAAUCAACGCCAUUAUAUCCAUGGAAAAACAUGGAUGAACACAAACUUAAUAAUGCCUGUGUCCUUAUGGGUGGAUUUAUAUAUAGAAGUACACGUUCAUCUAUGUAUAUAGAGGUAGGUUCAUAGGAGAAUGAUAUCUAUUUAAGAAAAUAAGAAAAUGGCCAAAUUACAUACAAAAUCACAUGUGAUUUUACAUUAAAGGCCCAAAAAGUGUGCGGGCGACCCUA